ensembl:lncRNA
CUUUUUAUUGCAAAUUUUUUUUGUUGUUGUUGAGUACAUACAGUUUGCAAGAGAAGCUCACUGAGUCUGGAUGUGCUUGUGUCCAAGUCCCACACUGACGUCGUAUGGCACAGGCAGCAUGGGUGCGAUGGAACUCGAUUAUCCAAUCAGAAUGAAGGUCCGUUCUAAAUGACACCCUAUUCCCUAAGUGGUUCACACAUUUUGGAGCCCCAUGGGCCCUAUUAAGAAAAGAAAGUCACGCUGCACUGUAGGCAGUAGGGUGCCAUUCGGGUCGCAGGCAUGUUUUGUUGAGUGCAAUGCGUUCAAAGGCUGUUGAGGGUUCAAUAGGAGAACCAGGUGGUUACGACGAUUCACUCCCGUCUGUCCUGAUGUUUCAAGUCAUGUGCAGAGUCAAAAUAAUAAAACACUUACAAACACUAACGCCUCUGAGCGUCCAAAUCAAAACGAGUCUCCCUUUAGCGUGACACCACGUCUGACACCACAUCUGUAGAAUGGCUUGGUUCACUUAAAUUACCAUUUCCAUAGAAUAACACUGCUUUUUUUAAUACCUAUAAUACACUAUUCUAUACAAUAUUCCAACAAAUAAAGACAAACAUUAUGACAUUUACAUCAUUUUACAUAAUUCUUCCUUCCAUUAUUACUUUAUAUGUAUUGUUUUUUUUUGUUUUUUUUUUAUGUUUUUAUUGUACAAUACUCAAAAGUACCAUCUGAGAAACGGGCUGAAAGAAUAUACUUUCUCACUCAAUGUUCUAGUUUUUCCUUAAGAAAUACAUGCUACAAAAUGGUGUAUAAGGUGCUGGAUUAUUUCUUACCAAGUUGCCUGCAAGUUCCAUGAGAGUGACAUAAGCAUUUGACUAUUAUUUUGUGGCGUGGCUUGUGUUGCUGCUUGCGAAUAUUCCUUCAAUUUAAGUCCGCAAUGGCUAUGUUUCAUCACAGUGAAUGUUUGUGUAGAUUCACUGACAACGCUCAACACAAUUCCAAAUGUAAACUGGAAUUAUGCACUUAAAAAAACUAGCUAGCUAGCUAUGUAACCACUACACCUCAAGAAAAGUUAACAGUGUAGGAAAAUUCAGAUGGACUGUAUGCCCUAAUUCUACAUUAAGGCAAAUGGAAAGAGCUAAAAUCUUUUGUUACAUAACUGCUCAAAAAAAAAAU